CUCUAGCGGUGGAGCAUGUUGUUUAAUUCGAAGCAACGCGAAGAACAUUACCAAAUCUUGACAUCCUUUGACAACUCUAGAGAUAGAGCCUUCCCCUUCGGGGGACAAAGUGACAGGUUGUGCAUGGUUGUCGUCAGCUCGUGUCGUGAGAUGUUGGGUUAAGUCCCGCAACGAGCUCAACCCUUAAGCUUAGUUGCCAUCAUUAAGUUGGGCACUCUAAGUUGACUGACGGUGACAAACCGGAGGAAGGUGGUGAUGACGUCAAAUCAUCAUGACCCUUAUG
rnacentral:rRNA from 1 species